rnacentral:misc_RNA from 1 species
CGCACCUUGCGCCUCUUGGUAUUCCGAGAGGCAUGCCUGUUUGAGCGUCAUUAAAUUCUCAACCUCAAAAGCUUUUUUGUUCUUGAGGCUUGGAUGUGGAGGUUGCCGGCUCUAUUAGGUGUCGGCUCUUCUUAAAUACAUUAGUGGAAACUGUUUGUAACCCACAUUGGUGUGAUAAUUAUCAGCGCUAUUGUGGCUACAAGCUCAUGUAGAGUUCGAUUGGAGAGUGCAUUCGUGCUCUUUCUGUUACUUUUGAGCUACAUUGAGUUGGUAUCUGCUUCAAACCGUCCAUUUUGGACAACUUUUGACUACUUUGGCCUCAAAUCAGGUAGGACUACCCGCUGAACUUAA